GGGACCGUCCCGGCACCGAUUCCUUUGUUGGCGUCCGGUGCCGCCGUGGGCAAUCGCACACGUCGCAUCGUGCAGUCCCUGCCAACGGGCCCUGUAGAGCUACCGGAUUUUCUGUGCGAUGGCUCCCCACGUG